rnacentral:rRNA from 1 species
UACGUAGGGCGCAAGCGUUGUCCGGAAUUAUUGGGCGUAAAGAGCUCGUAAGCGGUUUGUCGCGUCUGCUGUGAAAACUCGAGGCUCAACCUCGGGCUUGCAGUGGGUACGGGCAGACUAGAGUGCGGUAGGGGUGACUGGAAUUCCUGGUGUAGCGGUGGAAUGCGCAGAUAUCAGGAGGAACACCGAUGGCGAAGGCAGGUCACUGGGCCGCAACUGACGCUGAGGAGCGAAAGCAUGGGGAGCGAACAGG